rnacentral:rRNA from 1 species
GACGAACGCUGGCGGCGUGCUUAACACAUGCAAGUCGAACGGAAAGGCCCUGCUUUUGUGGGGUGCUCGAGUGGCGAACGGGUGAGUAACACGUGAGUAACCUGCCCUUGACUUUGGGAUAACUUCAGGAAACUGGGGCUAAUACCGGAUAGGAGCUCCUGCUGCAUGGUGGGGGUUGGUAAGUUUCGGCGGUUGGGGAUGGACGCGCGGCUUAUCAGCUUGUUGGUGGGGUAGUGGCUUACCAAGGCUUUGACGGGUAGCCGGCCUGAGAGGGUGACCGGCCACAUUGGGACUGAGAUACGGACCAGACGCCUACGGGAGGCAGCAGUGGGGAAUAUUGCACAAUGGGCGGAAGCCUGAUGCAGCAACGCCGCGUGCGGGAUGACGGCCUUCGGGUUGUAAACCGCUUUCGCCUGUGACGAAGCGUGAGUGACGGUAAUGGGUAAAGAAGCACCGGCUAACUACGUG